CGGGGGACAGGGUGACAGGUGGUGCAUGGUUGUCGUCAGCUCGUGUCGUGAGAUGUUGGGUUAAGUCCCCGCAACGAGCGCAACCCUCGCCUUUAGUUGCCAGCAUUUAGUUGGGCACUCUAAAGGGACUGCCGGUGUUAAACCGGAGGAAGGUGGGGAUGACGUCAAGUCCUCAUGGCCCUUAUGGGUAGGGCUUCACACGUCAUACAAUGGUCGGUACAGAGGGUUGCCAAGCCGCGAGGUGGAGCCAAUCCCUUAAAGCCGAUCGUAGUCCGGAUCGUAGUCUGCAACUCGACUACGUGAAGUCGGAAUCGCUAGUAAUCGCAGAUCAGCAUGCUGCGGUGAAUACGUUCCCGGGUCUU
rnacentral:rRNA from 1 species